CCUGCGGAAGGAUCAUUAUCGAAAUUAUAGGCGAGGGUUGUCGCUGGCCUCACGGGGCAACGUGCACGCCCGAGCCCUUAAUCCACACACACCUGUGAACCUAUUGUGAGGGCCCGUGAAAAAGGCCCCCACGUCUUUUAUACAUAUAACCCUGUCUUACAGAAUGUAAAAUCUACGUCUUCGGACAAAGAACUCUAUACAACUUUCAACAACGGAUCUCUUGGCUCUCGCAUCGAUGAAGAACGCAGCGAAAUGCGAUAAGUAAUGUGAAUUGCAGAUUUCCAGUGAAUCAUCGAAUCUUUGAACGCACCUUGCGCCCCUUGGUAUUCCGAGGGGCAUGCCUGUUUGAGUGUCAUUAAACCAUCAACCUCGGGGUUUUCGAACCCCGGGGAUUGGAGUUGGAGCGUGCUGGUGGAAACCCCCAUUGGCUCCUCUCAAAUGCAUAAGCGGGAAACCCUUUACUUCCGAAAGUCGGUGUGAUAAGGAUUUGUUACGCCGUCGCAUAGGAACUUUGAAGGCCGCUCACAAUGGUCUUCGGACACGUCUAUCAAACUUGACCUCAAAUCAGGUAGGACUACCCGCUGAACUUAAGCAUAUCAAUAAGCGGAGGAAAAGAAACUAACAAGGAUUCCCCUAGUAACUGCGAGUGAAGCGGGAAAAGCUCAAAUUUAAAAUCUGGCGGUCUGGCGGCCGUCCGAGUUGUAAUCUGGAGAAGCGCCU
rnacentral:rRNA from 1 species